AUCUGAUGAUGAGGACAACUAGCACACAGCUUCUUGAAUCUCUCCCAAUACUCAUGCAAGCUUUCUCCAUUUAUCUGUCGAAUGCCACAAAUGUCAUUCCGGAUGGU